rnacentral:rRNA from 1 species
AUGGUUGAUCCCAGUACACGCAGGACCCUAAGGAUUUAUCCCCUUGAUACACUCACGAAAUGGGAGGUUUUGGAUUCAACUGUAAUUGUGAUUUGUGCAAAGACUUUGGUAUACUUUGAAGCAAAGCUAACAAGGCUAAAGUCAAACAGCUAUGCCUCCAAUGCUUUGCUUGACACUGUGACAGUAGCAACAGUCCAGGUAUUAGAACACCACCAUUCUCUUUUCACUAUUCGUGAGCAGCCUCCUUACUAUAUUGAAAACAAUGAAAUUUCUUCUUCUCAAUGCUUUAAUGUCUGUAUAUUUUUUAGUUUUGUUUCUUUGGUAGUGUUGCUGCUUCACAGUUGA